rnacentral:rRNA from 1 species
AGAGUUUGAUCCUGGCUCAGGAUGAACGCUGGCGGCGCAUUUAAGACAUGCAAGUCGAACGGAAAUAAACGCUUAACAAGUUAACUAGUUUACUAGGAGAUGAGUUAUUGUUUAUUUUAGUGGCGGACGGGUGAGUAACACGCAGGCAAUCUGCCUUUCAGUGGGGAAUAACUAAAAGAAAUUUUAGCUAAUACCCCAUAAGACCACGCUAUGGCAUCAUAGAGAGGUCAAAGGAGUAAUCCGCUGAAAGAUGAGCCUACGUCUGAUUAGUUAGUUGGCGUGGUAAUGGCACACCAAGACGAUGAUCAGUAGCCGAGCUGAGAGGCUGGCCGGCCACAUUGGGACUGAGAUACGGCCCAAACUCCUACGGGAGGCAGCAGUUGGGAAUAUUGGACAAUGGAGGAAACUCUGAUCCAGUGACGCCGCGUGAAGGAAGAAGGUCUUCGGAUUGUAAACUUAUUUUGUCAGGGAAGAAUAAAAUGACAGUACCUGAAGAAAAAGGACCGGCAAACUACGUGCCAGCAGCCGCGGUAAUACGUAGGGUCCAAGCGUUAUCCGGAUUUACUGGGUGUAAAGGGCGAGUAGACGGCGUUACAAGUCAGAUGUGAAAACUUGGGGCUCAACCUCAAGACUGCAUCUGAAACUGUAAUGCUAGAGUGCAGGAGAGGAAAGUGGAAUUCCUAGUGUAGCGGUGAAAUGCGUAGAUAUUAGGAGGAACACCAGUGGCGAAGGCGACUUUCUGGACUGUAACUGACGUUGAGGCGCGAAAGUGUGGGGAGCAAACAGGAUUAGAUACCCUGGUAGUCCACACUGUAAACGAUGGAUACUAGGUGUAGGCACUAACGUGUCUGUGCCGGCGCUAACGCAAUAAGUAUCCCACCUGGGGAGUACGGCCGCAAGGUUGAAACUCAAAGGAAUUGACGGGGGCCCGCACAAGCGGAGGAACAUGUGGUUUAAUUCGAUGAUACGCGAGGAACCUUACCCAGGCUUAAAUUGCAGAUGAAUAUAGUGGAAACAUUAUAGCCUUCGGGCAUCUGUGAAGGUGCUGCAUGGUUGUCGUCAGCUCGUGCCGUGAGGUGUCGGCUUAAGUGCCAUAACGAGCGCAACCCUUAUUGAUAGUUACUAACAGGUUAAGCUGAGGACUCUAUCGAGACUGCCGUCGUAAGAUGCGAGGAAGGUGGGGAUGACGUCAAAUCAGCACGGCCCUUACGUCUGGGGCUACACACGUGUUACAAUGGGGGGUACAGAAGGUCGCUACCUGGCAACAGGAUGCUAAUCCCAAAAGCCUCUCUCAGUUCGGAUUGGAGUCUGCAACCCGACUCCAUGAAGCUGGAUUCGCUAGUAAUCGCGCAUCAGCCACGGCGCGGUGAAUACGUUCCCGGGCCUUGUACACACCGCCCGUCAAGCCAUGGGAGCCGGGGGUACCUGAAGUACGUAACCGCAAGGAGCGUCCUAGGGUAAAACUGGUGACUGGGGCUAAGUCGUAACAAGGUAGCC